rnacentral:rRNA from 1 species
AUUGAACGCUGGCGGCAUGCCUUACACAUGCAAGUCGAACGGCAGCAUAGGAGCUUGCUCCUGAUGGCGAGUGGCGAACGGGUGAGUAAUAUAUCGGAACGUGCCCUAGAGUGGGGGAUAACUAGUCGAAAGACUAGCUAAUACCGCAUACGAUCUACGGAUGAAAGUGGGGGAUCGCAAGACCUCAUGCUCCUGGAGCGGCCGAUAUCUGAUUAGCUAGUUGGUGGGGUGAAAGCUCACCAAGGCGACGAUCAGUAGCUGGUCUGCGAGGACGACCAGCCACACUGGGACUGGGACACGGCCCAGACUCCUACGGGAGGCAGCAGUGGGGAAUUUUGGACAAUGGGGGCGACCCUGAUCCAGCAAUGCCGCGUGAGUGAAGAAGGCCUUCGGGUUGUAAAGCUCUUUUGUCAGGGAAGAAACGGUUCUGGAUAAUACCUGGGACUAAUGACGGUACCUGAAGAAUAAGCACCGGCUAACUACGUGCCAGCCGCCGCAGUAA